GACGAACGCUGGCGGCGUGCUUAACACAUGCAAGUCGUACGGUAAGGGCCUUGUGGGGGUACACGAGUGGCGAACGGGUGAGUAACACGGGAGUAACUUGCCCACAACUCCGGGACAACGCUAGAAAACUGGUGAAAAUACUGGAUAUGUGCUCAUGCUGAAUGGUGGGGGUUGGUAAGUUCUGGGGGCUGUGGAUGGUCGCGCGGCCCAUCAGCUUGUUGGUGGGGUAGUGGCCUACGAAGGCGGAGACGGGUAGCCGGCCGGAGAGGGUGACCGGGCACAUUGGGCCUGAGACUCGGCCCAGACUCCGACGGGAGUCAGCAGUGGUGGAUGUUGCUCUAUGGGCGCAAGCCUGAUGCAGCAACGCCGCGUGCGGGGUGAGUGCCUUCGGGUUGUAGACCGCUUUCAGCAGGGACGAAGCUUUUUGUGACGGUACCUUCAGAAGAAGCACCGGCUAACUACGUG
rnacentral:rRNA from 1 species